AUGGAGGUCAGAGCUUCAUGCGGCUUCUUCAUUUUUUCGGUCUUUCUGCUCUGGCUGCCAGGCCGCCCCGCCAGCGGCCAGCCGGUGUCCCAGACUCCGACGCUGUGGACGAACCGGGGCGCGGACGCCACGAUGCAGUGCAGCCACACGAAGGGCAGCACGUUCCGCUUCAUGUACUGGUACCAGCAGCUGCCGGGUCGGAACAUGAAGCUCGUGGUUUUCACCACGGCGUACAGCACGCCGGAGCACGAGCCGGACUUCGCAGAGGACAAGUUUCCAGCGCAGAAGAAGAAUGCGGAGACGGGAUCCCUGACGGUGAAGAAUGCGACGCCUGAAGACGCGGGAGUGUAUUUCUGCUCCGUCAGUGAGACACAGUGACGCGGCCGGUUAAAGAGCCGAACAAAACCCAGAGAACGGAACCACAUUGGUUUGAGCUGACGGUAGAGGGCGCUAAAGACCAGGCUGCACCUCACCGAUACC